AGCGAACGCUGGCGGCAGGCUUAACACAUGCAAGUCGAGCGGGCACUUUCGGGUGUCAGCGGCGGACGGGUGAGUAACGCGUGGGAACGUGCCCUCUGGUUCGGAAUAACUCAGGGAAACUUGAGCUAAUACCGGAUACGCCCUUUUGGGGAAAGGCUUGCUGCCGGAGGAUCGGCCCGCGUCUGAUUAGCUAGUUGGUGAGGUAACGGCUCACCAAGGCGACGAUCAGUAGCUGGUCUGAGAGGAUGAUCAGCCACACUGGGACCGAGACACGGCCCAGAAUCCUACGGGAGGCAGCAGUGGGGAAUAUUGGACAAGGGGCGCAAGCCUGAUCCAGCCAUGCCGCGGGAGUGAUGAAGGCCUUAGGGUUGUAAAGCUCGUUUAUCCGGGACGAUAAUGACGGUACCGGAGGAAUAAGCCCCGGCUAACUUCGUG
rnacentral:rRNA from 1 species